CAAAUACUCCCUCCGUUCGGAAAUACUUGUCAUCAAAAUGGAUAAAAGGAAAUGUAUAUAGACGUAUUUUAGUUUUAGAUACAUCUCUUUUUAUCCAUUUUGAUGACAAGUAUUUUUGGACGGAGGAAGUAGAAA
rnacentral:pre_miRNA from 1 species